GUUUUUCUUUUUUUCUUUUUGAUUUUAUGUGCCCUACAGCAUUUUCAAAAUUAUGGCUCAACGUCCGACCAAAUGUUGUCAUUGUGCUGUGUAGAUAAGGUUAUGUACGAGCUCCACAUAGCCCUCUGCUUUAAUUUUUUCUCAAUAGUUAGGGAUUUUAAUUUUAGGGUUAUUAUUUGGUUGGUGUUGGAUCGUGCUGUGUCGAGCGAGAAAGAGAGCUUGAGCUGGCCGCUUUGCUUAGGGCUUGCCCAUCUCCAUCAACAUACAUAUAAUGAUAAAAAUGUUCCACCCCCACCAAUUAU
rnacentral:lncRNA from 1 species